AUGGGGGAGCAAGGCAGGGCGAGCAACAAGAUCAGGGACAUCGUGAGGCUGCAGCAGCUCCUCAGGAAGUGGAAGCGGCUUGCGCUCACGCCCAAGGCCGGCAGCAGGCACGGUGGUGGCGGUGGUGCUGCCGGCGUCCCGCGGGGCUUCUUCGCGGUGUGCGUCGGGGAGGAGAUGAGGAGGUUCGUGAUCCCCACGGAGUACCUCGGGCACUGGGCGUUCGAGGAGCUGCUCAGGGAGGCCGAGGAGGAGUUCGGGUUCCGGCACGAGGGCGCCCUGAGGAUCCCCUGCGACGUGGAGGUGUUCGAGGGCAUCCUGAGGCUUGUGGGCGGGAAGAAGGAGGCCCUGUCCUACAGCUCUUCGGAGCAUGGGAUCUUGUGCACAUGA
rnacentral:rRNA from 1 species